rnacentral:rRNA from 1 species
CCUACGGGAGGCAGCAGUGGGGAAUAUUGCACAAUGGGGGAAACCCUGAUGCAGCGACGCCGCGUGAGUGAAGAAGUACUUCGGUAUGUAAAGCUCUAUCAGCAGGGAAGAACAUGACGGUACCUGAGUAGCAAGCCCUGGAUAACAACGUGCCAGCAGCCGCCGUAUUACGCCGGGGGCAAGCGUUCUCCGGAUUUACUGGGUGUAAAGGGAGCGUAGACGGCAGGGCAAGUCUGGAGUGAAAGGCGGGGGCUCAACCCCCGGACUGCUCUGGAAACUGUACGGCUGGAGUGCAGGAGAGGUAAGUGGAAUUCCUGGUGUAGCGGUGAAAUGCGUAGAUAUUAGGAGGAACACCAGUGGCGAAGGCAGCUUACUGGACUGUAACUGACGUUGAGGCUCGAAAGUGUGGGGAGCAAACAGGAUUAGAUACCCCGGUAGUC